UGGAUCUUGCUGUUUAGUGAUUCUGUUCAUAUUUUAUAAAAUUUUCUGAUCGGAAACCCUAAUUUUCGGCCAAAAAAAAAAGAGAGAAAAAAAAAUUGAAGAGGGGGGGUCUGGGUCCAAGCAAAAUUGGAUUUGUGACCCCAUACUUCACUCUUUCACCAUCAUCGAACUUGAGAAAAUGGCGGGCGGAGAGAGGUAGAGAGUUGGUGUGCCAUUUCAAAAUGAAAAUAAAAAUGGUGUGGAUUUCGAUUUUGUUUUUUCGGCGGGAAACAGCCCUAAUUCCGCACAUUGACGCCUAGGGUUCUUCGUCGUAAGUUCAUGUCCUACUAGUUGAAUCACACCCCGAUAUCUCUUUCCGCUCUCUCUGUAUCUGCUUCUCGUGGGUUUUCUCCGUCGUUGAACUUUGUUUCCGGAGUUUUCGUCGCGGAAGAUUUCUGGGUUUCUCUUUAUCCUUGGGUUACUUAGGUUGGUCGCUAUUUUUGAUGCUUCAGGAGUACGAUAAUGGGAUCUAUGUAUGUUUAUAGGACCUCGUGUUCGAAUUCCAUGGCCGGAUGGUCGACGGUAGCAGAGGAGAAUACCGUCGGCCGCUGCAAAACUUCGAAGAAGCUGUCCGAUUGCUCAAAUCCACAUCUUAAAGGGUCGGCUGUCGAAGGGGAGAUCGAGAAGAUCGUGCUCUUGUUCCGGCGCCUGCUUGAAGCUUUCCUCGAAGAGUUUUGUUCGGUCGGUAGUUUCCGGCCUCUGCCUCCGAUGACGGGAGACGGAAAAACCGUGGAUUUGUUCAAGCUCUUCCUUAACGUCAGUGAUAAAGGUGGAUUUGACGCGGUUUCCAAAAAUGGGUUGUGGGGAAAUGUUGCUCAAGAUUCUGGGUUAGGGUUGAACGAUUCAGCUUCUGCGAAGCUGAUGUAUGUCAAGUACUUGGAUGCAUUUGGGAGAUGGCUGAAUAGGGUCGUUUCAGUAGAGCCUGAUUAUAGUGGCCUGGAGUUGUCGGGAAUCUCGGUAAAAUUGGAAACAGAACUUAAAAGUUUUCUAUCGGAAAUCAAGAGGAAAUAUGGGCAGGGGAAAGGUGGGAACUCCGAGGAGUCAGGGACAGGGCUUAAGUGUUUUAUAUCGGAAAUGAAGAGAAGAUAUGAUAAAUAUCACACUGAUAAAGAGAGUGUGUCUAUUGACGCUGUGAAGAAGGUUGAGGAAUUGGAAACGGCUGUUAGUGAGAAAGUAGUGUUUCAUGAUCAGGAGCUCGAGGGAAGCCCUUGUUCUGGGAAGAGGAAACGGGAAUGUACUUCUGAGAUGCUGAAAUGGUUAACUAACGUUGCUAGGGAUCCAUGUGAUCCAGCUAUUGGUCCUUUGCCGGAAAGAUCAAAGUGGGCAUCUUAUGGAAACGAGGAGCCAUGGAAACGAUUUCUUUUGUUUAGGGCUGCAAUGUUGCAGAAAAGGCAUACUGAUUCUCCUUCUGGUAAACACUGGGAGACGCACCAGAAGAUGCACCCAUACAUGUACGAAGAUAGCAUUGGACCUGGUUACAACCUAAGAGAGAGGCUGAGUUUUAGUGGCAGUUCAGUUAAUGAGAGGAAAGCUGCUAAACUUGAGAUUUGUUCAGACAAUGAUUCAUCAAUGGAAAAUUCAGAUGAGGAAUCAGACAUUCCAGUUGGUUCAGAUUAUCAAGCUGAAGUUCCUGAAUGGACUGGCAGUGUAGUUUCUGAAAGUGACCUGAAGUGGUUGGGAACUAGGGUCUGGCCCCUGGACAAAGUACAAAACCCGAGACUUCUUAUCGAGAGAGAUCCCAUUGGAAAGGGAAGACAAGAUUCGUGCGGCUGCGAAAGACCAGGUUCUGUUGAAUGUGUCAGGUUUCAUGUCAGCGAGAAACGAGUAAAGCUGAAGCUUGAACUGGGGUCAGCUUUCUCCGGAUGGGGCUUUGAUGAGAUGGGUGAAGCCACCAUGCAGAUAUGGACAAGUUUAGAACAAAAGAAGAUAAAUGCUAUGAUUAGGACUCCUCCUUUACUCGAUCAAUUGUUCUUCGAGCAGGUGGGCAAGAUUCUCCCGACGAAGAACAGAGCAAAGAUUGUAAGCUACUACUACAAUGUCAUCCUUUUGCAGUAUAGAGCAAAGCAGAAUAGGGGCAUUCCUUGCGUGAUUGAUAGUGACCCUGAUGAACCGGAUUGCGAAUCUGCAUCAGAUAACUCCGCACCUGCGGCAAGCAAAUCGGGGAAACCUCUCCUACUUUCUCCCAAGAAACCAAAUAGACAGGCACGGUAGAUUUUGAACAGGAAACAACUGUUUUUGAUUAAGACGGAGCAUGGGUAUUGUUUUCCAAAGCUUCCCUCUGAAACUAUCAACUUGGAGAUGAGAUGAUGCUCAUUGGAUGAAGAGCCGACUUGGUUUAGCGGUAAAACCAUUUACCGUGGGGGAUGAGGUCGCGGAUUCGAAUCCAUCUUUCUACAUUAAAAUGUAGGGGUAAGGUGGUGGAUAUGAACUGGGUUUGGUCCUUUUUUUUUUGGAGAUCGCAGAUAUGAGAACAAAAAAUUGUGAUUAGAAAGAGGGUGUUGAAGUACAGAGAAACAACCUUUUACUUGUUUUUGGUUGGUGAAGACAACUCGCGAGGAAUGUAAUUGCUCCUCUUGACUGUUCUAAGAUGAAGUUUCUGCUCUUAUCAUUUCCUAACCAGCUUUGUCUUAAAAAUUCCAAAAAUGUUGAAGCUGCUGCUCACAUUUGUACAAGCGGGUGUGAAUUUUUUUUCCAUAUUUUUUGGCUUUUGAUGUAAUGCUAUGCAACAAUGAAAAUAUGAAUUGAAUUUCGGCCGAGGUUAUAUAGUUUUGUUCAAUUGUAUAUUCAUAAACCGGACAUUUUCUCAUUUGUCAUUUCAGCUGUUCAUCCUGAAAUAGACCCAACAGUUCAUUGGAAAUGAAGAUCAGAACAAGGAAAUAUUAUUCGAACAUACGGACAAUGACAUUAUAUAAACAAGCACAUUAAAAAAAA